UCCUCACCUGUUUUCCUGGUUCAUCUGCGACACCCACCAACGCAAGACAAAAUUAACAAAAUUAAUUACAACGAUAAAUACUAGUAAACUUAUAAAAAUCUUAUACAACAGUACAGAAGAAGAUAAAAGAGUAAACCAAAGUGUAAAAAAAGGAAAAAGGAAAAAUACAAAAGUACAAAACCAUGUAAUUUACAAUAUAUAUUGACCGAAAUCUCUAGCUCUUCAUAAUUCAACUAAAAAUCCAAUAUGAAAUAAGAUGAAAAUGAUUGCGAUAAUAAUUUAAGAGGACCAAAGAACAAGAGUCAUCCAGUGCAAGAAAUUCAACUGACGUACACGGAAAGUAGAGGUUAUUGGCAG
rnacentral:misc_RNA from 1 species